UGGGAUGACGUCAAAUCAUCAUGCCCUUAUGUCUGGGCUACACACGUGCUACAAUGGCCGGUACAGACGGACGCAAAGCCGCAAGGUGGAGCAAAUCCUAAAAAGCCGGUCUCAGUUCGGAUUGCAGGCUGCAAUUCGCCUGCAUGAAGUCGGAAUCGCUAGUAAUCGCAGGUCAGCAUACUGCGGUGAAUACGUUCCCGGGCCUU
rnacentral:rRNA from 1 species